CGGAAGUUGAGCUUCAGGCGCGGCUCUUCCCCGUCACACUGGGACCGGACGCAUUUCCAUGGCGUGGUCCCAGGAACCUCUCAGGUCAUGCCAGCAACUGGGACUUCCUGUGGAAUGCAAGGGCAGUGGGGCCUCCGCGAGAGAGAGAGAGAGAGAGAGAGAGAGAAGAGAGAGAUAUUAAGGAUGAAUCCCAGUGUCUGCUCUGAGCAAAUUGGAAGACGAUGGCAUCAGGGGCACUGCUCUGGGCUAUAUAGACUGUGCCUCCACUAAAGGGUCCCUGAGACCAGGUGUGGGCCCGUAUCCCUGGAGGGAGAGGUAACUUCCUCUGAUUCGAAGGCAUCAUAUAGGCUAGUGAAUGGCACUGAGAAUGGCAGAUGCCAGGGACAAGCAGGAGCAUGUGUGGGAUGAGGAUGCGGCGUGGAUGUGUGACGUUUCAGAGCCUGCAACACAUCCGUAGGGAAGUCCUGGAGGAGCAGUUGGGUGCAUGGUGGAGUUCUGAAACAGCUGGGCAGUCGGCACUUGAGCCAGAGAUUCUGCUUUCGACCUGGAUGCCCAUUGAGAGGUUAAGAGCUCAGGUCUGGGUCAGGCAGCUUGGAAGCAGCACAGCUUGGACACUUGGUAGCCUGGGACUGUGGUUAAAUCAACGUGACUCUCGGAGCUCCAGUUCACUGUAAAUUAGGGCAGUAAAUGAUGUCUACAUGAUAAGUGGUGUUAUGAAUGUUAAACAUUCACAUGAAAUACAUAGAAUAGUGCUUAGCAUACAGUACACAAUAACUGUUAGCUAUUUGGAAAAUUACUAUUGUUAUUAUGAUUAUUUAUUACAGAGUGAACUGAAUUGGAUGCAAGAUCACGGUGCGUCAGAGCUAGCAAGAUCCUUAGGAUCAUUUAGCCUGGUUUACUAAUAUUACACUAUGGAAUUUAAGCCCAAGGAAUGGAGAGUACCCGACGAGCGUUAUGUAAGGAGUCGAGUGAGAAGUAAGCUGGAUGCUCUGCUUGGCUGGCAGGUACAGAAUGUGCCAGACCCAUCUGUACCAGCCUGGAUCUCUUGAGGCAUCAGCACAAUGGACCUGGCCACACCAGUUUAUUCCACACCGCUGAGGCUGGUACAGUUCUGGACAUGGACUUUGUAAAUAAAUAACUGGGCCUUUGGUCAGUUCUAGCUGUGAGCUUGGAGGUAUGGGGUGGGAUGGUGAGGACAGGUGGGGGCAAAGUGAGGAAAGGGGCAGGGAGGAGAGGGGAGAGAGAAAAAGGGGAAUGAGACAGGCUGAGCUAGUGAGCUGGAAUUGGAGGUUGGGAACAGGCUUUCCUUGAUGGUGGUGGUGCUGUUUUCUUUUUAAUUUUAAUUUAAUUUUAUUUUAAGUUCCAGGCUACAUGUGCAGGAUGUACAGGUUUGUUACAUAGGUAAAAACAUGGUGGUUUGCUGCAACUGUCAACCCAUCACCUAGAUAUUAAGCCCAGCAUGCAUUAGCUAUUUAUCCUGAUGCUCUCCCCACCCCUGCCCCAACAGGCCCCACUGUAUGUUGUUCCCCUCUUUUUUGUUCACUUAAAAGAUCCCACUUUUAAGUGAGAGUAUGCAGUGUUUGGUUUUCUGUUCCUGUGUUACUUUGCUGAGGAUAAUGGCCUCCAGCUCCAUCCAUGUCCCUGCAAAGUACAUGAUCUCAUUCCUUUUUAUGUCUGCAUAGUAUUCCAUGGUAUAUAUGUACCAUAUUUUCCUUAUCUAGUCUAUCAUUUAUGGGCAUUUGGGUUGAUUCCAUGUCUUUGCUACUGUGAAUAGUGCUGCAAUGAACAUAUGCUUGCAUGUAUCAUUAUUUUUUUAUUUUUUUUGAGAUGGAGUCUUACUCCCUCACCCAGGCUGGAGUGCAAUGGUGCAAUCUCUGCUCACUGCAACCUCCUCCUCCCGGGUUCAAGCAAUUCUCGUGCCUCAGCCUCCCGAGUAGCUGGGACUACAGGUGCCUGCCACCACACCCGGCUAAUUUUUUUGUUUUUUUGUAUUUUUAGUAGAGACGGGGUUUUACCAUGUUGUUCAGGCUGGUCUCGAACUCCUAUCCUCAGAUGAUCCACCCUCCUGAGCUUCCCAAAGUGCUGGGAUUACAGGCAUGAGCAACCACACCCAGCCACAUGUAUCUUUAUAAUAUAAUGAUUUAUUCCUUUGGGUACACACCCAGCAAUGGGAUUGCUAGGUCAAAUGCUAUUUCUGGUUCUAGGUCUUUGAGGAAUCACCACACUGUCUUCCACAAUGCACCAUGGAAUACUAUGCAGACAUAAAAAGGAAUGAGAUCAUGUCGUUUGCAGGGACAUGGAUGGAGCUAGAAGCCAUUAUCCUCAGAAAACUAACACAGGAACAGAAAACCAAAUACCACAUGUUCUCACUUAUAAGUGGGAGCUGAAUGAUGAGAACACAUGGACACGUGGUGCGGGAACAAUACACCUGGGGCCUGUUGGAGGGUGGGGGCUGGGAGGAGGGAGAGCAUCAAGAAUAGCUAAUGAGGCCAGGCACAGUGGCUCACGCCUGUAAUCCUAGCAUUUUGGGAGGCUGAGGCGGGCAGAUCAUUUGAGGUCAGGAGUUUGAGACCAGCCUGGCCAAUAUGGUGAAACCCCGUCUCUAUUAAAAAUACAAAAAUAUUAGCCAGGCAUGGUGGCAAUGCCCGUAGUCCCUGCAACUUGGGAGGCUGAGGCAGGAGAAUCGUUUGAACCUGGGAGGUGGAGUUUGCAGUGAGCCAAGAUCGCGCCACUGCACUCCAGCCUGGGCGACAGAGUGAGGCUCCAUUAAAAAAAAAAAAAAAAAAAGAAGAGCAAAUGAAUGCUGGGCAUAAUAUCUAGAUGAUGGGAUGAUCUGUGCAGCAAACCACUAUGGCACAUGUUUACCUAUGUAACAAACCUGCACAUCCUCCACAUGUACCCCUGAACUUAAGAGUUGGAAAUCAAAAAGAAAAAAGGUAUUAACUCAAAAUAAAAACAGUGUGUACUAUUUUUCUAAUCAGCAAAUGUUAUUUUAUUUUUUACUAUUAUUUUUAGAGUCGAUAUCUUGCUCUGUCACACAGUCUGGAGUGCAGUGGCAUGAUUAGCUUUGAAUUCCUGUUCAAGUGAUCCUCCCACCUCAGUCUCCAGAGUAGCUAGGGCUACAGGCAGUGCUGCCACACCUGGAUAAUUUUUAAAUUUUUUAUAGAGUUGGGGUCUUGCUAUGUUGCCCAGGCUUGUCUCAGACUCCUGGCCUUAAGUGAUCCUCCUGCCUCUGUCUUCUGAGUCGCUGGAUUACAGGUAUGAGCCACCAUGCUCAGCAGAAAAUUAAAUUUUUUUUUAACAAGUCAUUAGUUCCUGGGAAUUCUAUUUCACUUCCAAAUCCACCUCAUUUUGCAGUGCCCUGUUCUUAGUAGUCCUGGUUUAGGAAGAGUCGUGUUUCACAUGAUCAAGGUAGCCAACACAAUGAAAGUUGAGUUCACAGAGUAUUUAUUUAUUUUGGUCCCUCACAGAGUAUCUAUUUAUUUUUGGUCCCUCACAGAGUAUUUGUUUAUUUUUGUUCCCUCAAAUAAUUCAGCACAAUUAAAUUCAGCAAAUAUUUAUUGAACACUUGGAGAUGAUGAUGGAAAAUUAUGUUCACAUGGUGCCAUUUGGUACAACGGAAAUGGCAUGAGAUUUGGACCAAACCAGAAUUGUCUUAAAUCCUGGCUUUGUUAGUUUUAGGUAUGUCAUCUUGAGCAGUUCACUUCACUUUUUGAGCCACAAUUUCUCUUCCUUACAUAAAGAUAUUUAUAAAUACCCCACAGGUUGUUAUAAUAAAGGUUGAAGAUGCUUGGCACAUAAGCAAAAAUUAUGAAUAAAUAUGUAUUAAAAUAUAAAAUAACUACAAAAUAAAAUAAAAAUAUUGUUUUUCU
rnacentral:lncRNA from 1 species